UGGGACCACUCUAUCAAUUCUUUUAAAUAUACAAUCCUUAUCUGCUCUAUCAUUCCACCAGGUAAAAGGGAUACCACAUAAAGCAAAAUCUUCAUACUCAUGUGGAUAGACAUGAAGGCAACCAAUUUUCUCUUCUUCCACAUAACAACAUUGAAGUUUCCUCCAACCAUCCAAGGUAGUGAUUGAUUGUAUCCUAUAGAAUAAAUAUCAUCCCACAACCUAAAUCUCUCAACUGUUGUACAUUUAGCAUAGACUAGAGUGACCAAGAAUGGAUUCCCAUUAUUGAAUGACAGAUGUAGUGUUAAUUGUUGUUCUGAAUCUGAAACUACUCCCACAUGAAUCCCAUCCCGAGUAAAUAGCCAAAUUUGACCAUUGGAGUUGUAGUUGACAUACUACAUGCACAUCCUUCUUUUGCAUUUUUGAAUCUUCUUAGUGUCUUGAAAUGGUUCCAUCAAGGAAAUUAGGAAAAAAUUGUGGUGUCUAUGUAACAUUUGAACUUUAUGAAAUGCAUUUUGAGUUCUCACAAUCCUUAUAUUCAAAAAUAAAGCUUUUGAUUCAUUGAGAAACACUCUUCUCCCCCUCUUAGCCUGUAUCCUUGUUGUCUUUGAGUCACUAGCCAUUUUACCUUUCUUUUUGUUCCCUCUGGUCAUUAUCUGAGAUAGCCAACUUCCUUACAAAUAUUGUUCUCCAGUUGCUCACUUUCUUCUUAUUCAACAUCUUCAAUACUUGCCUCAUUAAAAUAUUCCCUGGUUAUGCUCCCUUGAAUGGAUGUCUUACCAUUUUCUUGUAAAAUUUGGUGUGAAAUAAUUGCAUGUAAAGCUUCAUUAGGUGCAAAUCUUCUAUUGCCCAUUGUGAUAGCCUGAACCUUAGCUAGAGCACUUGUUUUUUGCAGGUUGCUCUCCUUCUCAUUUGACUUCACCCAUACCUAUUUGAAGUAUAUUUGUAGGAGGAGAUCUCCUUCCACUGGAACCACUUUUUGGAGGGGCUCUUGAUAGGUAGCGUAUCUCAAAUCUGGUUCAUGUUGUUGGUAUGCCACAAUCUCUUUUCUAUGUGUUCUCAUCGUCUGUAUGCACCUCUUCUUUUUUCUUUACACUUUCACUAGAUUGAUUAUUUCUUACUUAUGUUGCAGAUGUGUCUCCUUGCCUGUUGACAGUAGCCUCAUCUUCUAUUGUGUUCUCUUCAGUAAUUGAUGUAUUCUCACUUUGUUUGUUCCUUUUAUUACCAAUGUCCCCAUCUUUUUUACUAUCCCCUUGUUGCAUCGAUGUAGUAUUACUUGUUCAACAUUCAUUUCCUGCUGAUUAGUAAAAGCUCUCGAUCAAGUCUGUAUUGGAUUCAUUACUUUUUUGUUGAUCAUCUGCAUUAUUUGUCUAAAGAACUUGAUUCUCUUUCUCAAUAUGUUGUUUGUCCAUUUUCUGGUUAUCUCCCUCCCUUGAUUCAAUCUGGUGUUCCUCAUCAAUAUCUGUUAAAGCAACAAAGGCAUUCCCACCGUAAGUUUUGCUGGAAGUACUAGCCUUGUCACUUAUGCCAACACCUUUGUUCAUUGUAAAAGCUCUAUUUGUAGGUUCCAGUAUCUUCUGACGAUUCUUCUCCUCCCUUUUCUUAUGUCCUCUUAUUUAUUCUUGUUCUUCAUGUAGUAUUUCAUUACCCUUUGACUGCCCCUUUUCCUCACCAUUAUCGAUCCUUAGCUCUGGAUGUAAGUUUCCACAUUCCUCCUCAUCAUGUCCUUGAACCUUAUAAUGUUUAUAAUAUUUAGACAACAGUUCUUACCGAAUCUUCACUUGCUCUAUCCUUGACACCUUAGUAUCUUCAUUCAUAAUCUCAUUUUCAACAAACUUUGGGAAAUUCGACAUAAGAUGUACCAGAAUUUUAACUCGUGCAGAACUUGAUUUUGUUUUAUUUAUUGUGGCCAUAUCUAAAUAUAAUGGCUUUCCAACUGCUGUUGCCAAAGAUAAUAGAGAUUCCUUCACAAAAAGGUGGGUUUGAGAUCCGGAAAGGAUAUCCAAGUCAAAGCCUGCAUAGUUUCUUCUGCAACCAGAAAUUUUUCAUCAUAAAUAAGAGGCUUUGGGGAAUAUAAAUAUUCGUCCUUAGCCAAUAUGUAUUAUAUUGGACAUUACAUUAAUGAAGUUUUCUUCCUGAUCAAGUCUGAUGAGGACAUGUCUAUUGCAUAAUAGACCUAUCUUACAAUCUCAUUUGAUGUUGCAUUGUUUUUGAAUAAGCAUCCUAAGUUCCUCCAGCUCCGGCCAAUCAUAUGAAAAUUUUCUAACUAUUGCGUCUUGGAGAUUCUCAAUGAUGUUCGUUCUCUUCACUUUACUCUUCGUCCAUAUCAAUCAAGGAAUUUCAUUUGUAUAAGUGAUUGUCUUUAUAGGAAUUGGUUCUACUUUUUUUGUCGAACAGCUGAACGGUUCCCUAAGAACAUUGACAUAAUUCACUUGGAACAUAUUACUGUUAUUGCCAGGCAAAACAAUAGCAGUAGGCUCAAUAGGCAAAUUAGGGUUCACAAUAUCAGUCUUAGUGCUUGUCGAUAGUGGUGGAAUAUGAAGCUUCUUGUAGCAGCAACGACUGGUCAACCCCAAGACUAGGCUGACUAGUGGCCGGAAUAGCCAUUGUAUUGAUUUAAGGUCGAAAAAAGUCACUGGCGACGGUAAGGAGUAUAGACAGUGUUUUUUCAUAAUCAUUGUAAAUGCAAUGUAUCAUUUCCGUUUCUAAAAAAAAAUUGCUACAACCUCUACUUGUUGAGGCAUAAACUUAUUAUUUUGUAUUGGAUACACAAUAGUUAUUAUUUAUUUUUUUUAAAAUUAGUUUAAAAUAAAAAUUGUAUUUCAACAAAAUUUAAUAAAAUAACUAAAAUUGAUGUCUUGUUGUUUUUUUAAAAUAAUCUAAAACAAAAGAAUAUUUCAAAAAAAAUUAAUAAAAUAAUUAAAACGGGUAUCUUAUUAUUUUUUUAAAUUAGUUAAAAAGAAAAAUUAUGUUUCAACAAAAUUUAAUAAAAUAAUAAAAUGAGCAUCUUAUUAUUUUCUAAAAAAUUAGUUUAAAACAAAAAUUGUAUUUGAAUAAUAUUUAUUGAAAAAUUAUUAAAAUUGGUGGAGUGACUUUCUAAAUGAAAUAUUAAUAGUUGUGACUUUAUAGAGAAAAUAUUCAUAGUUGAGUGACUAUGAGAUUAUAAGUGAAAGUUGAGUGACUUUCAGGGAAAAGAAUCAUUAUUUGAGUGAUUUUCUACGAGAAAAAUUCUUAGUUGAAUAACUUUGAAGUUAUAAAAGAAAGCUCAAUGACUUUCUGUGAAAAGAAUUAUUAGUUGAGUGACCAUAUGAGGUAUUAACUCCAAAAUACUGCAUACAUCGUCAACAAUACAUGGUCAGAUUUACAUCCCGGAGAUUAAUUGGACCUUAAUGUUACUAUGCCUGGAUGUUACUAUUGGUUUUCGAGACACCAAACGGAUGGGAAAUGUUGCAGGUAUGGAUAUGAGCUUAUUUUAAAAUGUCUAUGUUGAUUCAACUUCAUUACUGACCCUCAUCCCAAAAUUUUCUCUUUGCAUCAGGUUUGAGAAUCAUAACUGUCAUACUGGUUACCACACUUUCUUGAUUUCAUUGGUAAUUGUUUUAUGUUGACACCAAAGUGUUUUCCUUGCAAUUUUCUUUGUGAGCUUCUUUGGGUCAGUUGAGGCUUUAUAUUUCUCCACUUCUUUGAUUAAAUUUUUGGAAGGAGCUUGGGAAACAACAGCCAUGGCAAUAAGGUCUCUGUUGACAGGCUACUUCAUCAGCUAGGCCCUAGUCUAGACAUAGUAAGGGUCCGCGACAGAGGCAGACUCACCCCUCUAGCUGGGGUGCAUGUGCACCCAUUAAAUUCGAAAAAAAUCAUGUAUAUAUAUGUAUAUCUAUCUUGAGAAACUGACAGAAAUUAGAAUAUAAUUAAUAGUGCACCCAUAAAAAGCAUAGAAGUGACAUUGUGCUACUGAUACAAGCUAGAGGAUCCACCUAUGAGACCUGGGUUCAAAUCCAACUAAAGUGUUUAUUUCACUGUUUUUGUUUUAAGUUUAUCUUAGAGUUCAUAUUUGAGCUAAGAUAAUAUGGGUGCACCCAAAGUUUUCAAAUCCUGAAUAAUAUACAUGCAAUUGCUUAUCUAUAUUACCUUAAAAGUAUGAACUCCUAACUUUAAUGUUAAAUUACUAUAAUAUCUCUAACUUAGGUAAUGACUUUUUUGAUGAGUUGUGACUUUUUCGAUAAGUUUUGACUUUUUUCAAAGGGUUGUGAUUUUUCGAUGAGUUGUGACUUUUCCCAAGAUUUGUAACGUUUUCAAUAAGUUGUGACUUUUUCAAAGGGUUGUGACUUCCUGAAAAGGUCAUGACUUUUUCAGAUAAGACACAAAAAAAUAUGUGUUCAUACUACCCUUUGUUGACUAUAAAUAGAGGGGCUUCCUCUCAUUUUUCAACCACAAUAUUUUUAAUCUUCUACUCUUCUUCUUCUUGCAUUUUGAAAUUUCUUAUGUGAUUUAUUGUCGUUGAGUGAGUUCGAAGUUUAGCGGAUAUGAGGUACCAAUGUUUUGAUGAAGUAAGUCGUUCUAUCCUAAGAGAGUAUAUACCAUAACCUCGAGUACUUGAGGAAAAUAAUUUUGAUGAUAUAAUAAUUAUUUUUUGCUUCAUAUAUACAUUAGUAUGUAAUGUUCCAAUAUAUGAUGUUAACAUGAUGUAGUCUAAAUUCUUUUUUUUCCAACAAUUUCUCUUGUGAUGUAGACAUAUGUUUCUAAAUAUCUUUUCCAAAAUUUAGAAAAUUGUCACGAUUUAUUUUUGAUGCUCAAGACAAAAGAACGACUUUAUUUAUCAAUGCUACUUAUGUGAUUUAAACUCUCAUGGAGUUUGAUUCAAAAUAGUAAGCCCUUUUGUUUUACUUAUUUACUAUUUCUUAAUAUUUUGGUAUUUUAGACGAAGAAAAGUUCAUAUGACUUGUAAUAACACCAGUUGAAGUUUGUAUUAGUUUAAUUUUUAUUAUUGAUUUAAUAGUUAAUUUAUGAGAUAAAUAUUUUUAUUAAUGCAAAUAUAUAUUUAUAUUUGGGUAGAUAUUUGUACUUAAACUAAAGUAUUAUAUAUGUCACAAAUGUAUUAUCAAGUUAACAAAAUCUUCUAACUUCAAAAUAUAUUAUUUUAAAAUGUUCCGCAUUUUUUUUAAUCAAAAACUCAGAACCAAUGUGAAAAUAUGUGAAUAUAUAAAAUGUAGUUGUUCUCUUCACAUGUCCAUAUGACAUCUAAAGAAUUUAACAUGGAAUACACAUGCAAAGCAAAUCUGGUUACAUGACAAGAAAAAUACAAAGCAAAUAUUGUCUAUAAGGUAAUAUUAGUGAGAUAAGACUAAUUAGAUGAUUUACCUCAUCAAAUUGAAAUAAAUGUAUACAUUAUUGCAUUUAACUAAUAAAUUUUUUCUUUGACCAUCUUCACAGGUCAGCGUGAAUAAGAAAUAUAUAUGACGAUCCACGUUAAACAUUCACAAAAGAAUCUUCAAUAUUAUUUUUUGCUAAGCUUAUUAUUCAAAUCUUCGCUUAAAUAAGCAAAUACUAUUUACUAUGUCAUAUAUUUUUGGAAUUGGUAAUCACGUGCAACGCACGUGUCAAAAAACUAGUUUGUAUAUAUGCAUCAAUUGCCUAUAUACAAAAAGUUGUCAAUUGCCUUUAUACGAAUAGUUAUCUACCAUUUAUCAAUUGUAUAUCUUAUACGAUUGAAUCUGUUAAUGAUAUUUACAUACAUUUUAAUUUGAAUAUCAGAUGAUAUAUGUGAUUGUACUUUUUAGAAAUAAUAUACAAUUGUUUAUUUGUAUAUAUGCAUCAGUUGCAUAUACACUAAUAGUUCUCUAGCAUUUAUCGUUUGUAUAUUUUUAUACAUAUAAGAUUCCGUACUUUUUUCUUUAUUCUUGCAUAAUAUAUGUGGCGUAGUAUGGCAUGGUUAUAUGAGGUGUAUAUGACUUGGUAUCAUACAUUGGAGAUUAAGAUUGCAAAUGGUUGGCAAUAUAAAGGAACUAAACUAAAGUUUUAGGUCAAAGGGACCCCUCAAACAAAAGUUCAGGAUUAAAAGAAAUGGCUCGGGUAGAACUUCGCCCGUUUGAAAGGUUUAAAUUAUCUCAUACCUUGGGGAUAAGCCUAUGAGUGUCUAACAUGCUAAGAAUAAUGUGUUAUGAGGUAUUAUAAUAGCAUAAGGGUCGUAUGUUAAGUUUUUAAGUCAAGAAAAUUAACGCAACUAAGGUCGGCACAACUUAUCGAAGUUUCUCUAAUAACAUUUUCUUAACUUUGGGUCAAAUGUCUUUGAUGUUUUCUCCCAAUAUAUAGAGAGUUAGAAGGCCCAUGACCUAUCCAAUCGAAGGUCUACGAGUCUAGGUUGCAACGCACAACACCCCAUAUCCAACCGAUAUUGGAGUAAAACAUUAUUAGGGUUUGACUGCGGAUUGCUGGGGCAGAAUCCAGGUCGGGUCAAAAAUAUGGUAUGUCGGCUUACUCGACAUUUUAAGCCAUGAAAACAUUUCGUUUUACUCCCUAACCAGAAAGAAAGAUGAAGAGAGUGUUCUAUGGAGUUCUUGCAUGAUGAAGGCUUGUUUUUUAUGAUUUCUACCAUUAAAGGUUGUCCCGGUGCCUAGAAACAUGAUCUCUACACGUGGCAAUCGUUCUCCCUUCUAUUAGCUGCAUUUGGAGUUAGUUUUUGAAGAUAUAAAUUGGUAGUUAUUGGUUUUUCUUCAAGUUUUACACUUGGUUUGCUAAGGUAAUCAUCUCGGUACUCUUUUAUAAUUGUUUUUAUGAAGUUCUAUAGGCAUUUCGUCAAGUUGGGACCAUAUGACAAAUCUGCCAAUUUAAGCUCAAAUAUGAAUUGUUUAUAGGUGCGUACCAGCUGUGUAUAUAUAGUGUUUGUGAAGCUUAGGACGUAAGGAACAAAUUUCAUGAAGAAACUACGGGCAUUCGAGCGUUCAUUGGAAUGGUAUGUUAAGGCUAACCUUUGUCCUUCAUUUUAGCACCACUCCUGGGAAAUUCCUAAAACGCCGAAUGUGAUAUUUUUCUAUUCUCUUGCUAGAAAGACCUUCUGUGAAAGGCAUUGAGAUCUCAGCAGAAUUAUUUUCAUGAUUCUAUUAUUUUGAUAUUCCACUCGUUCGGAUAAAUAGAGUAUUUGACAUGUACAUGUCAUUUUAUCGGUUUCCUUGAUUGUAUGUACGCAUGUAUGAAUUCCUAUUCUUCUUUUUAAAAUAUUACGGGAGACCCUUAUUAUUUGUAACCAGCCCUUUUUCCCCACUAAAGUUAUUAUGAAAAAUCUUUAAAGUAACUCACGAUCUUCAAAACUCCCAAAUAUAACUUAAAUGUUUAAACUAAUAGAAUACUUGAUUUUUGAAAUACUUCUUUUAUAAAUUAUCUAGGAACAAAGUAUAGGAACUAAGUAAAUCACCUUAAACUUAUUAUGAAUAUCUGCAAGGUUAAGUUAUCUUUCUAAAAUUCGAGUGAAGUUUUCAAGCUUAUUUGGAAGAACAUAUGAGGUUCCAUGAGAUGGUUACAUGUCAUAGGAAAGUGAUUACGGGGUUAUGAGAACACGACUACAAAUGGGCAAAGAUUGGCAACAUGACAACGAUAACAUAUAUGUGAUAAAUCUACAACAUGACAUGCUAUGCAUUCUACUCCCGAGCUAGAAUUGGGAGAUAUGGGGCCUAUUGCCUAUAUUUAUACAUAUGAGACACCGAUGGCCACAGGUUGGCGAAUAUGAUGUCGGUUAGCUACCGGGAAGCACCACCAUUGCAACCAUUUGGUUGGGUAUGUCAUGCAUUUGCAACUAUACAUAUGUAUUCACGACAUAUGAUUAUACGAGCAUACCGUGCAUAUUUAAAUAGUAAGAGGCUAAAUGUCAGCCAUAGAGAUUAUUUGAUUUUCAGUUUUAGGUGGUAUCUUUGUUACCCUUUUACAGUAAAUAUCUAUGAUUUUACUUUCCAUUUUACAUAUCAGUACAUUUAUAUUCGUACUGACAUCCCAUUGCCUGGGACGCUGCUUUUUGUUUCGUGCGAGCAAGUUCAGUCAAGGAUUCUGAUCGACCCACCCACUAGGAUUCGGGUUCAGCUAUGAGUUAGUAAGCUCUGUCUUAUCCUGGGCUAUCAUAGGAUGGUUACUUUUGUUGUACAGUUUAGGUAUAGUCGGGGCCUUUCCCGACAGUGCUUAUGUCACUCAUAGAGGCUAUUGUGGACAUAAUAUUGUGGGUUUUCUUUUGUAGGUUUCAAUCUCCAGCCCAUUGACUUGGCAUGUAUAUAUACGUGUGUGUAAGUAGGUAUGUAUUCAGUUGUGGCCUCAUCGUCUAGCUAUAAAUCUUAAUUUUUGGCUUGUCUACCAUUGUUUGUAUGGUUUAUUCUCAUUCAGGUCAUGACCUUCAGGGUCCAGACUUCACUUUUCAGAAGUUGUGCUGCCCAAUCAUUUUGUCUCAUAGUUUGGUUAGUUAGUAUGUUUUAGUGGGUAACUCGAUUGAAAAGUCAUUUUUGGUAAGAAAUUGUAAGGAAACACACUUAGCAUGAAUCGUGGGAUAUUUUCCUUUUUUAAAUUGAUUUGUUGCUUCUAUUAAGGGAUUAAUUUGUCAUACCCCGAGCCUACACCCUGAACGUGGCCAACACUAUAGAACUAUUUCUGAUUCCUAAGCAAACUGUUGGCUUGGCUAAAUACUUAGCGGAAGACUCACUCAAGCAAUAAUAGUCUUAAAAUAGAAGUCAAUCUCAAAGUAGAAAGUACUCAUUGUUAUAAUUAAGACUAUUUGCAAAACAUCACAAAAUAAAAUGAAAAUAUUAAGAGACUCCUCAACUCUAACUAUCUAUAAAGCCUCUCAUACUAGGAUAGAUGUCGGGACAAGACCUACGACAACUCAACAAUAACAAAAAAUAAAUGUGAAAUUCUCUGGAAAGCAAGGAGGCUCACCAAAGCUAUUUGAAGCGCAAUGUGAUCUCAACGGCAUGCCUAUUGGUGAUCUUGAAAACCUAUAUCUGCAUCAUAAAAGAUACAGGUCGAAUUAUAUGUGUACAUUUGAAUGUACGAUUAUUUAAUAUAGCCGAGGCGAAAUAACUGAAAGAAAGAACUACAAUAGGUAUAACAUAAACUCAACCGAAUGCAAAGAAUUAAAGGAAUGAAACCAUUUCACUUUACAAUAUACUUUCUCAUUCUCUUAUCUUUAACAUCAUAAGUGAUAUAUAAAAAUACACUUUAACUCUAUUAGGAGAUUCUCUAACUGACAACCAUCACUAAGAGCUAAGUGAUGAUACAACGUCUUAUCUAUGCUGCCAGAAUUGUCUUAUAUCGUGCCGGAAUAUAGAACACCUCAACUAAAUGGAUCCACUAAGAUCUGCCCGAAGGCACUAAGGAUUCAUCUAAAAAAUAUGAUAUUGUACCCAUGUUGGCAAAACAUGGUUUAUGAGGGAUGUGAGUUGUACAAACUUUCCCCCCAUAUCGGUGCUCAAUACUGCUCCCAAUAAUAUAUACUAUUUCUCAAAUGUAUAAAAAUGUUACUCUUUCUCUGUUUUGAGAUAAUUGCUCAAAUUAUCCUCUUAAAAGAGGUAACUACUCUGAACUGUCUUUGAAACACAUUUCUCAUUUAGAAAACAAGAUUUCUAUUUGCUUAAUGUAAAAAUACAUUCUGAAUUGAGUUAAUUACUCAAAAGGGGCCUCUUUAAGAGGUAAGUACUUAAUUUUUCUGAAAACUCUUUUAACUUUUCUCAAAAAAAGUCUACUCUUUUGUUUCAUGUAAAAAUGAAACAUUUGGGAAAAUACUUAGUUCCCUUAUACUCUCUCUCUCAAACUUAGUUUAAACAAUGAUGUUUUGGUUAAAGGAUUCUCAAUAAGAAUUCACUGAAUACUCAACAUAGGGUUCAUACUGAAAAAUAGUCAUGAACAAUCAACUCAAUAAUCACAAUUCACGUUGUAUGACAAUUCAAUAAUUAGGAAUAGGAAUUCAAAACUCAAUAUCAACUCAUUUCAAGAAUACUUAAAACUAAGGAUAGAACCCUAGAUUACUCUUUUACUGACUUAAAAGUAGAUGUAGGGCAUGAGGACGAACUAGUUCAACACUAAGAUAGCCUUAGAUACAUGGAAGAACAAGCUCUUUCGGAAUCGAAGAAACUUGACAAAACGCUUGAACCCUAGCUUUUCUCCCCUUGGAACCUUGAUCUAAUGUCUUGAAGUGUUAGUGAAUGUAAAAGAGCUUAUUAACACUUUUCAAGCCCUUAAUUAAGUCUAAAACAUCGUGAUUUAGGCUUAGAAUAGGGGUUAAAAUGAAGUAGUUUAAGUACCAAACACAUAGGGGAAAGACCAAAACUACCUCAACUUUUAAAACUAAAAACGUGCCUCAAACGGGAGGUUUCACGAACCAUAUGAAGCUUCACGGUCCGUGAAAAUCUUCAUGGUCCGUCUAGUGGGUCGUCAAGUUGCACCUACCCAAUAGGGCUUCACUAAAACGGGCAUCAUAACAUCUUGACAUGAGGCAAACUUGGUGGAGUUGGAAAGAAGACUCAAAGACCUUCAAUUUGAUAGGUCAUGGGCCACCUAAUUCAUUUUGUGCUGAGAGAUAUGAUUCUUUGAAGUUGACCCAAAACUCAAAAACUUAUGGGUGACUUGUACGACACCUAAACCGACCGUGCAAGUCACCACAGGCUAUCUAGGUGAUCGUAACCUUGGCAGCCUUAGACAGUCCUUGACUCUUCUAAUUCGACUCUUUUAAUGUUUUUCUUUUUUCCUUCUCAUUCGACUCUUCUAAAUAUUUUUGGUGGGAGUAAUGACUAUUUUCGGCAAGCUAAAUUUGAAGAAUAUGAAAUAAAACCUACUAUAAAUAAAAGUAAUAUCCUAAGCUACAAAAUAUAUGUCUAUUAACAUAGAUUUGUUGGCCUUCAUGUCCCAAGUCAUUGCUGAGCAUUUGAGUUAUCUAGGUUAGACCCAUUUUUUUAUUUUUUUUCAUGUACGAAAUAUUUCUUUAACAUGAGUCUAGAAUCCAACAUUUGAUCUACUUGUACUUUCAUAAUUCAACAUUUAUACGUACAUAUUUCUGAAAAAAGUCGUAAAGUUUCAUUGAUGAAGCAUUUAGAAAGGCAUUCAGAGCAACAGUUUGAUGAAGAAUGAAUUUCUAAAAGGGUCAACAAUUUAUUUUGUUGUUGUUUCAAAUUUAUUUUUCUCCUUCUAUAAAUUUUGUUAGAGUAACAAAGUAACAAUAACGAAAAGUGAUGAACGUUGGACCUCAGACAAGUAGAUUGUCUCUAAAACUUCAUCGCUACAUAAAAACAUCACUCAAUUUUAACAAGACAAUUAUAUUAGCAAACAUAUAUUAUGAUAAAUUAUGUAAAAGAUAAAAAUGAUUAGAUAUCAAGAUAUUUUUAAUCAUUCAUUUAAUAUUUACAAUUCUUGAAAUAUGUGAUAAUGUCAAAUCAUUUAAUUUCUGUUGAAAUGUUCUUAAAACCUACUAAAAUUCACUUUUUUUCUUUCUUAUAAUAGUCAAUUUUUGAAAAGGUUGUUCAAAAGCUUAGAAAGAUUAUUUAUGCCCACGCGAAGCGCGGGUAAAUUACCUAGUUUCCUUAAAUUUUAAUACAUUUUUAUUGUGGAAUAAGAUUUCUUUAUAUUUUAAUACAUUUUUCUUAAAUUUUAAUACAUUUUCCUUUUGAAAUAAGGUUUUAAUUGAAAAAAAAAAUCCUUAAAUUUUUUAAUAUUAUUUCCUUGUGGAAUAAGAUUUUCUUAUAUUUUAAUACAUUUUUCCUUUGUGGAAUAAGAUUUCUUAAAUUUUAAUACAUUUUCCUUUUGGAAUAAUGCUUUCUUUCUCUAUAAAUAGGAGACCCAUUUACCCAAAUUAUAUCAUAAUAUUAUUAAAAAUAAAAUCUCUAUAAAUCAUCGUUUUUUUAAAAAAAAAUUAUUAUUCAAAGUUUGGACCCCCUUCAAAAAAUUUAUGGCUACGCCAAUGCAUAAGCAUAGUUAAAUGCUUGCACAGGGACCUCAUCGAGAAAACAAACACAUGAGGAAUUGAAGCGUUAGCAUGUGGUGACUUUAUGAAUGCACAACUUAGUUACAUAUUAUCAUAAUGUAAAAGUUGGACAGUGACCGAUUCUAACCAUCAACUUAGCUAAUUUUGAACAACAAUCCACAAUAUAACAACAAGCUUUGGAAAAAAAAAAGAUAGAGCAAAACAAAACAGAACUUAGAGCAAGAUUAAACUAUAUGAAACCCAACGAAUUAGCGACUAACAUCUAAACCAAAGCUUCAAACAUGACAUACUGAACAAUAGGACAAAAACACAAAAUUUGAAAAACUGGAGAAGACGAACUGCUACAUCAACAAACAAUAGAUAAUACGAACAACUAUUUCAUCAGCGAGAAGAGUAACACUUAGCCAUAUUAAAAUGUUAAAACCAUAGGGAAAUCAGAAAAUAAACAGAGGCAACAUGAUCACAAAAAUUGAAAAUUUUGAAACAACAAUAUCACAAGAUGAAGAAGAACUCAGCAAAGGGAAAGGGAUAUUACCUUUAUUUGGGCAGGAACUGGUACAACGAUCUUGAAGGUGACUAACUCACACCACCAAUCGAGAUGAGCUCCGGUGAAUUGCUUGGAAAUAACAGAAAAAAGGUCAUUUUCCUCUACAAAAUCUUAAGCCUCAAAUGCUAUUUUAGCUAUCCAACCCUUCUUUUCAAAAAUCCCCCUGAUAAGUCUUAAUGCUCCCAGAUGUUUUGAUGAUCUCCUCACAAGUGCAAGGACCUGGUCCUCUGUAGAGUAUGCUCGUCCAGGGUCAUAUGUUGUACAGAUGGAAAGAUGUUUGCGUCAAAAAGUUGGUGAAGUCGCCAGUGUACUACACCAACCAGAAUUGACGAGGUCGUUUGUCCAAAGGGUAUUAACUCUUGAUGUUUGAUAUAUUCAAGACAAAAACAACCAACAACUCAUUCAUUCAAAGAGAGAUAUUCAAGCUUCAAAAUAGCAGGGACCUGAUAGAUUGCAUUAUUGUUUCAUGUACCAACUGUUGCUUUUGACUGCUUGUAAUUGUGUGUAUAUUGUAGGAAUCGUUUCGCUUGUGAUGAAAACGUUUCAAUCUUGGGUGAAUCAUUGUAAGAACUUAGUUAUGGGUAACUUAGUGUCUUACGUCAAAGUCUAUAUUAAUCAGUUAGGUUAGUAUAGUGGGCAGUGUUGUAUCUGGUUAGGCUCGUUUAAGUAAUAAGUGGUAUUACUUAGUGUGGAGAUUACCAGGUUAAUCCUAUGUUGUAAAUUGUGUUUUACUUUUUCUUGUGAAUUUUAGUAAAAGCAGUUUGAAAAUCCCUGUGAGACAGGUCGUGGUUUUACUCCCUUGAACAAGGAGGUUUCCACGUAAAGUUAUGUGUGCAAUCUUUACUUUCAGCAUUUAUUUACUUUCUGUUAUUGUAAUCAUGUUGAGGACCUGGUCCUGUCGUAACUAGUGGACGCAUACAUUCCAAUAAGUGGUAUCAGAGAUUGACUGUUCGAUUUGGGUAAUACCAAGAAAAGAAAAGAUCCUGAAGGAAUGGCUGCUCCACGCAAUAUUGAAGAAGGUCAGUCAUCUACCAGACCACCCCGCUUCAAUGGACAAUACUAUUGCCGCGCCCCAUUUUUCUCAAAACGGACUUUUGACCUAACAACUCUUUUGGGCUUUUGGGUAGAUUGAAGAGUCGUCACCUAACGAAUUAAGGCGCGUUAGGGAACCUAUCUAACCUAGCUAAAUCUAACUACGGUCAAUGAACCAGAGAUCAGGGUAAGGGUUCAAAUUACCUCGAGGGAAAUGUGUUAGGCAUCCCUCGAGGUCCACAAAUGUGGGUCCCAGCAGUAUCUCAUGCAAUUUAUGUGGGGGUUACAAGUAGCAAUUAAGGUCACUUCAUUUAUUUAGGCUAUUUAAAUUAAACGUGCUUACUAAGUGAUAACAUAAUAUUUAACAAUUAAAAUUACUUCAUUUAAUUAAUUAAACAUGCAAAAACUAGGUGAUAACAUAAUAUUUAACAAUUAAGAUUACUUCAUUUAAUUAAUUAAACAUGCAAAAACUAGGUGAUAACAUAAUAUUUAACAAUUAAGAUUACUUCAUUUAAUUAAUUAAACAUGCAAAAACUAGGUGAUAACAUAAUAUUUAACAAUUAAGAUUAUUUUAGUUAUUUAAUUAAUUAGUUAAUCAUGCAAAACUAAGUACUAAUAUAAUAACAAAUAAAUAUUAAACAACUAAUAAAGAGAUAAGCGAGGACACAGAAAUUACACAAGUAAAUAAGCAAACAAUUUUUUAUAUUUUAUUUAAGCUACCCCAAACAAUUAUAAUUAUAAACAAAUAAAGGGACAAAAGGAAAGGGAGACUCUGAAGGACUUUACGGAUCAGCGCUCGGCUUUAAUUUUGAGACAGACAAAACAAAUGUUUGUCGUUUACGGCUUGAGGCAAUGUCAUCAUCUCCGUAGGGCCUAGACUACCCCUACCCCAGCACCACAUGCUUUUCGUCUUUAAAAGGUGCCUAGCGUCCCCGCUUAAGGUCCAAGAGGCAUUGGACUACUAUUAGGGGGUUUUAGACUUAAAUAAAAUAAAGGUUCCUAAUAGGCCCACCUAGACACCAAGUCAAACAAUUUGGACAAGCAUUUAGCACAUAGAGUCUCAUAUUGACCUCUAGAUUUUAUUUAGCAUGCUAGCAAACACACAUAAGGUGAAAGGUCUCAUACUAAGGUGUGUGAAUAUAUAAACAAGUAUUGCAGCAGUAAAAUUACUUAAUUAAGAGUGGCAAAAAUUAUUACAGAAUGCAGAUUUAAUUGAUUUUAAAAUAUAACAGAAAAGUGAUCAACAUAUGAAAAAUCAUUUUAGAACAGUAGCAGAUUUUAUUUAAUUAUUGGCACAGAUCGGUCAAGAAUAAAGGCAUAUAUUUUUAAAAACAGGGGCAGAUUCAAUUGGUAAUUAUUCUCCACAUGGACAAAUUAAAGAUGUGCAUAGAAAUAUUUAUUUUACUUGGCAGGACAAUGUUCAAAAAUGCAGAAGAUAAUUAGAUCAGGCAGAUUUUAUUUCAGAUUUAAGAUCAGACGAUUUACUAUGCUGGUUUCUCUUUAAUAUGCAGAAAACAGUCAUACAAAUUGAUUUUAUUUAGUUAUGACAUGCUUGGAAUAGUUGGUUAAUUUUAUCUCAAGUGGCACAACAUGAAUGUAGUGCAGAAAUGAUUUAACAAUGAGCAAAACAUAUUUGCAGAUUCAUCUUAUUUUUUUAAACAUGUUGGACAUUAUUUAAUAGCUCCUAUGAACAUGAUUUCUAAGUGAUUAAUAUACUGACAAAUAUAAACUAAAUAAUUAACAUGCUGCAAUUUAUUAGAUCAAAUUAGCAUAUCAAUCUAAUUAAUUGAGUCCUAUAGGCAUGAUCUUCUAAGUAAUGGCACAAAAUCUACAACAUGUAGGCAUGCUUUCUAUACCAAAAUAACAUAUUAAAAAUUAUUUAACCCCUAUAGGCAUGAUAUCUAAAAUGGCAGAACAUUCCAAUACAAAAAACAAAUUCAUGCUGGAAGUAGUUAGUUACAUUAUUUUAAGUGGCAAAGAUAUAUUACAGAUUCAGAAAAUACUAACAGUUAGCAUAAACCAAUCGUAUCAGGGUUGUUUCAGUUAUUUAGAAUGCUGGAAAUAACAAGCUGAUUUGAUCAAUCUAAUUAACAAGGUCUUAUUAGUGGAAUCCUAUAGGCGGGGCUUCUAAAUAUGCAAAUGUUGAAGUUGUGAUUGAUCCUAUAGGCAUGAUUUCUAUAUAGAGAUAUACUAAUUGUUUAAACAAACAUAUAGGCAUGCUUUUCUAAAUGGGCUAAUGCCGAAAUUAAUUAGUAAAGCUGACAUUAACAAUUAUGACAAGAUCCAUACUAAAAAAAAGUCAAGCUUACUCUUUUAAAUUCAUUAGCAUGCUGAAAAAGUUAUUAAACCUAUAAAAGUUAAGAUCUAGGUUAUUAACAUUUACUAAAGUUAGCCAACUCUUAUUGAUUCAAGCUACUUGAUUAAUAUACUAACAAGACAAACAAAUUGUUGAUUUUAAGUAGAUUAUUUACACGAUUCCGACAUGUUGCCUAUUCUAAUGAUUUUAGUAAUAGACAGAUUAUCUAUAACAAUCACACAUAACAAAAUAAACAAAGAAAACAGUUGGCACAUAUAUCCCCCUCCCCUUAGACGAUCCCCAAAUACAUUUUAUAUAUAGAGAGUUAGAGAGUUACUAUAAGAUUAUUAUAGAACCAAAAUAGAAAAUAAUACAAAUAUUAUGAAUAAACUUAUAUCUUGUCCAAUGACCCAUCCUAGGCGACUCUUCAAACUUGAACCCAAGUCUGAACCUGCUAAAGUGAGAUGCAGACAAAUACAACAAUAAAGAGCAAUAUACUAUAAUGAAGCGAGCAUACUAAUUAUGGGAAAAUUCAUCAUAUGCGCAUAUUUAUUUCAUACAUCUGGUUAAAAUAAACAGACAAGCACUUAGAGAAGUAAACAAUCAAUAAAUAUAAUAUCACACAAAGUGAGGGAAGAACGAAAACUGACUUGCAUGUCUCCUCUUAUCCCUUUCGAACUUAUGCAUAAAACUAAAUGCAUAAUGAUGCAGAAACUAUAUAUAUAUAUAUANNNNNNNNNNNNNNNNNNNNNNNNNNNNNNNNNNNNNNNNNNNNNNNNNNNNNNNNNNNNNNNNNNNNNNNNNNNNNNNNNNNNNNNNNNNNNNNNNNNNNNNNNNNNNNNNNNNNNNNNNNNNNNNNNNNNNNNNNNNNNNNNNNNNNNNNNNNNNNNNNNNNNNNNNNNNNNNNNNNNNNNNNNNNNNNNNNNNNNNNNNNNNNNNNNNNNNNNNNNNNNNNNNNNNNNNNNNNNNNNNNNNNNNNNNNNNNNNNNNNNNNNNNNNNNNNNNNNNNNNNNNNNNNNNNNNNNNNNNNNNNNNNNNNNNNNNNNNNNNNNNNNNNNNNNNNNNNNNNNNNNNNNNNNNNNNNNNNNNNNNNNNNNNNNNNNNNNNNNNNNNNNNNNNNNNNNNNNNNNNNNNNNNNNNNNNNNNNNNNNNNNNNNNNNNNNNNNNNNNNNNNNNNNNNNNNNNNNNNNNNNNNNNNNNNNNNNNNNNNNNNNNNNNNNNNNNNNNNNNNNNNNNNNNNNNNNNNNNNNNNNNNNNNNNNNNNNNNNNNNNNNNNNNNNNNNNNNNNNNNNNNNNNNNNNNNNNNNNNNNNNNNNNNNNNNNNNNNNNNNNNNNNNNNNNNNNNNNNNNNNNNNNNNNNNNNNNNNNNNNNNNNNNNNNNNNNNNNNNNNNNNNNNNNNNNNNNNNNNNNNNNNNNNNNNNNNNNNNNNNNNNNNNNNNNNNNNNNNNNNNNNNNNNNNNNNNNNNNNNNNNNNNNNNNNNNNNNNNNNNNNNNNNNNNNNNNNNNNNNNNNNNNNNNNNNNNNNNNNNNNNNNNNNNNNNNNNNNNNNNNNNNNNNNNNNNNNNNNNNNNNNNNNNNNNNNNNNNNNNNNNNNNNNNNNNNNNNNNNNNNNNNNNNNNNNNNNNNNNNNNNNNNNNNNNNNNNNNNNNNNNNNNNNNNNNNNNNNNNNNNNNNNNNNNAUAUAUAUAUAUAUAUAUACAAGUCACUAACCGGUUAAGCAGUUAAAGAAAUAUCAGCAAUGAAGAACCCUUAAUCCAACUUUCGACCCGUACACAGCAAAAUAGCAAGUAUAGAGGAGCUUUAAUGUUUACCAAACAAAACCUUAAUUCUAUUUUAAAGAGUAGAGAGCAAUAUUUUUUAGUAUUCAAGUAUGAGCAAAGUCAAGAUGUCUGAGUCCCUAAACAAUGAAAGGGAGCCUUGUUUAUAUACUAACUGAGAGGGGCACGGUAAUAAGGGAAGAAAUAAUCAAGGAGCCAAUUAUAACAUGUUUUCCUUAAACAAAAGGAGUAUAAAAUCAGUCCCGUAUUUAUUUAUUCUUUUUACCAAACAUAAACAAGUAAGAAAUCUGCCUACUUUUAAUUAAGGUAAGGAAAUCAAUUGAGAAGUCACUAUUUUUACCAAGUUCAAAUUUACGGACAGUCACCAUACAAAUUGACAAAAAUAAAUAAAUAUCGAAGGAAGGGAAUAAAUUUGGGAUCACUUACGCACUAUCAUUACACGCCUUAUUAAUUUUAAGACUUACCAUAUUCAACUUUCAAACAAGGAAUUCAAAUAGUUAAAUAACCUGUAAGUAAGCUAUAAUAGCUCAACUAUUAAUGCUAUAUACCAAGCAACUAAGGGAAAUACAAUUAUACGCAUGACAAUAUCAUAUGCAAUAACAUACUGAAUCCAAAGCCAUAUCAAUUAGUAAAUCCAUUUAUGCUCUAAUUGGUUUAAACGUGCAAAUUGCUUCUAAAUUGAAUGAGAAUCAACACUCAGAUUAAUUAAUGGGUUAACUAUCAAGAUUAACAAAUGUAACCAAGGUAACUGGCAAAUUCAAAGACAAGUGCGAGAUAUCCAUAUUAAUCUUGAGAAGAACAAUGGAGCGUAUGAAUUUCGAGAAGAAAAUACCAUUAGAAAAAAAAUAAAAAUCGAUAAAAAUUAAUUUAAGCUAUUUUAUAUUAACAAGUAAAUAUUUGAUGAGUUGUUUCAUGAAUAACAACAAACUAUAAAUAAACAUAGAAUAGACAUUUAAAGGGGCGCACCUGGACGGAUCCUUAGCUAAAUUCGGAAAAUUUACCGGAGCUUCUAGCUUGUUUCUUCGUACUCAUGGCUGUUGGUCGGAGUUACUGUUUCUCUCACCGGAAAAAGGAAGGCAGUGGAGCAGCAUUGGCUGCUGGCUGUUCUCGCCGGUGAUUGCUGGUCGCUGGUGGCUUCGCCAGUCACUGUUGAUUCUGGUGGUCCUCGCCAUUUGCUGGCUGUUGUUGUCACUGGCUGGAGCUGUUGUUGUUGUUGUUGUUGUUGUCGUCGACUGGAGCUGUUGUUGCUGUUGUUGUCGCCGACUGGAGCUACUUGAGGCGCUGGCUCUCGAGUUGCUGUUCCACCGGUGGUCCUCGCCGGCUGCUAGUCAGACGGGGAGAAAAAAGAGAUGGAGAAGAAGGGAGGAGAGGGGAAGGGAGAGAGAGAGAGGCGGCUGCCACCAGCAAAUGGUGGUGAUUACUGUUCUCGUCUCUGGCGACUGUUGGUCACCUGGAAUCUCGCCGGCUGCUUGUUGGUUUUCAUCAGAGGAGACGGGUGAGAAGAGAAGAGAGAGCAGUGGCGCUAGAGAGAGAGGAAGAGUGAAUAAAUUUUAGGGUUUUGAUCUCUUAGAACUAAAAUAGGAAAGGUUAAAAGGAUUGAUCUCGUCUAUUGAUUUAAUAACAGAUGAAGGGCUAGGAUUUGAUCUUAGGUUUUAACUAAAGGAUAGACGGUUGAGAUUAAAAGAUGAAAUUUUAAAAUCAGAUUGAAUUGAAUUUGGAAUGGCCAAAAUUGCAAUAGAAUUGGCUAGGAUUGAAAUGAAAGGGUGGCUAUAAUUGAAAUACAAUUGGAAUUGAAUAUGCUAGAUUUUAAAGGAAUGAGAAUAAAAUAGGCUAACAUUUAAACGAUUUUGAGGAAACUAAGAAGAUGCUAUUCGAUUAAUAAAAUACUACAUAUAUUACAACAUUUUUGUAUAAUUAAAAUAACUUAAAUUUUAAAAUAUUUGAAUAAAAUAAUUACUUUUAGUUUUACUAAUAAUUUUAAAAAUAUUUUAAUAAUUUUAUAAAGAGAGCAUACUAAAAUGUACAAUUUUUAGACAAAAUCGACUAAAAUUUUAGAACUCAAAAAUAUAUUCAAAAUAAAUAUUUAAUCGAAUAGCAUUCCCAAAAGGGUUAAAGGUCGGUCAAAAUUGGGUAUCAACAACUAUGGGUGGUGGAAGAAUCGCAUACAUGAUUACAUCAAUGCUGAAGACACUGAGUUGUGGGACGUGAUUCUUGAUGGACCGUACAUUCCCACAAAGAAGGUGAAAGAUGGAGAGCUCACCACAACAGCUAUCAAAACCAGAAAGGAGUACAAUGAAACGGACAAGAAGAAGAUAGAGAAGAAUUAUAAAGCAAAGAAGAUUUUGGUAUGUGGAAUCGGGUCAGAUGAGUACAACCGAAUCUCUGCCUGUGAGACAACCAAGGAGAUAUGGGACUAUCUUCAAAUAGCCCAUGAGGUAACAACACAAGUGAAUGAGUCUAAGGUCGAUAUGCUUAUGACUCAAUAUGAGAACUUGUGUAUGAAGGAAAGUGAAACUAUCUUCGAGAUAAACUCAAGAUUCACCUCCAUAACCAACGAACUGAGAUGCCUUGGUGAGCCUAUUCCCCUAAGCAAACAAGUUCGGAAGAUUCUCAAAGUACUUCCCAAGUCAUGGGAAAGCAAAGUGAAUGUUAUAACUGAAGCAAAAGAUCUGAAGACUCUUUCCAUGGAUGAACUGAUUGGAAAUCUCCAAACCUAUGAGUUGAACAAGCAACAGGGGACAAACAUGAAUGAGGAAAACAAGGAGAAAUCAGUUGCUUUGAAAACAUCUCAAAACGAUGUGACUGAAGAGGAGGACGAAAUGGCAUAUGUUACUAGAAGGUUUCAGAAGAUUAUCAAGAAGCAUGGAGGCUUUCAAAAGAAAGCUUCGACCAGCAGAGCAGCAAAUGCAAAUGAUCUUUGUCAUAAAUGUGGCAAACCUGGUCAUUUUAUGAGGGACUGCCCCAGCCAGAAGCAGGAAACUCGGGACUUCAGACCUCGCAGAAGGGACCAAGUCCUAGACCAUGCCAAGAGUAAAGCUCAUGCUGAUCAACUGGUAAAGAAAGCAUUGGCUGUAUGGGGAAACGUAUCUAGCGAGUCCGAGGAAGAGACAGAUAGUCCAGAAGAUGUCUCGAUGAUGGUUGUGGAAGAUGAUGAAACUGUCUACAAUUCUAUUUUUUCAUUAAUGGCAAAUUCUGAUGAUGAAGAGGAUCUGAAUGAGGUAACCCUUUCUAAUCUCAAGGAUGAUCUAGAUACUCUUCCCAUUAAUAGAUUGAGAAAACUUGUUGCUCUAUUAAUUGAUUUAGUUGAUGAACUAACUUCUGAAAAUUUGAUGAUGAGUGAAAAGCUGAGUUUGUGUGAGGAUGAAAACGCAGCUCUCAAAUGUCUAAAAUGUCUAAAAUGAGUGUUAGGAUAGGUAUCCUUGAGACUGGUAGUCUGGAAUCUAACAAGGAACCUGGUACCUCUAAGGGUGGGAAGUGAAAACUCAGUAACUUUAAGGUUGAACUAGAAGAGAAACUUAAGACCUCUGAGUCUAAGUUAGUUGCCUCCCUAGAAAGGAAUUCUCAACUAGUGAAGGAUCUAUGUAAGAUCAAAGAAGAGUUGAACCACUCCCUCAAAUGGACUGAUUCGUUUAAGAUACUCUCUAACUUGGCAAAUCAGAAGUUCAACAACAGAAAGGGUUAGGUUGUAGACAGAUAGAGCCUCCCUACAAUCCUCAUAGUAAAUUUGUGUCUGUCUCUGACAACCUUUUGUGUACCCACUAUGGAAAAAAUGGUCAUCUGAAAGAAAAUUGUGAGAUUUUGAGAGGAGUAAAAGAAAGGCAGGAGAAGUUUCUUAAAUUAAGAAAGGUUUUUGAAAAAAAGAAAAAGGUACCUAGUCCCAGUUACCACUUUAGCAAGAACACUUUACCCCCAUGGACAGGAAGGUUUCUCAUUAAGCCUUUUGACAGUUUUAGGGAACUCCAUUUGAAGUGGGUUCCUACGUCUAAUAAGUGAUUUUGUGCAGAAAAUAGGAAGCAGUCAAUGCUGGUACAUGGAUAGUGGAUGCUCAAGGCACAUCACUGGAGACACUUUAAACUUCCUCUCUUUGGAAGCACACCAAGGUGGUGGUGUGUCAUUUGGUGGUGGAAAGAAGGGUUUUAUUCUUGGAAUUGGCAAGAUAGGAAGAACAUUUGAUCACUCCAUAGACAAUGUACAUUAUGUGGAUUGUUAGAAAUACAAUCUCCUGAGUGUAUCUCAAAUUUGCGACAAGGGAAAUGAAGUCAAGUUCAUGUCUGAUAGGUGUCUGGUUACAAACUGUGCAACUAAAAGGGUUGUUUAUGUCUGCCAAAAGAGUCAAAAAUAUGUAUGUUGCAGAUCUUGACUCUAUUGAAGGGGACUGUCUUUCAUGCCUGAGUGCUCAAACUGAUGAUGCAAAUCUGUGGCAUCAGUGAUUGGUCAUGCAAGUACCUCUUUGUUGAACAAGCUUGUUGCAAGGGACUUGGUCUGUGGAUUGCCAAAGUUAAAGUUCUCAAAUGAUAAAGUUUGUGAUGCAUGUGCAAAAGGGAAACAAACAAGAUUAUCCUUCAAAUCCAAGAAAUAUGUGAGCACAACCAAACCUCUGGAUCUUCUCCACAUGGACUUGUGUGGACCUAUCAGAGUUCAAAGCAAAGGAGGUAAGAAGUAUAUUCUGGUAGUUGUUGAUGAUUUCUCCAGGUUCACUUGGAACAUGUUUCUGCGGACAAAGGAUGAGACGGUCGAACUUCUGAUCACGUUUGCCAAAGCAAUUCAACUGAAGGUUAACUGCAAGAUUGCUAGUACCAGAUCUGACCAUGGCACAAAGUUUGAGAACUCUCAAAUUGAAGACUUUUGUGCUGAAAAUGGAAUUAAUCACAAUUUAUCCGCACCAAGGACUCCUCAACAAAACGGAGUUGUUGAAAGGAAGAACAAAACAUUGGUGAAUAUUGCUAGAACCAUGCUGAUUGACUCAGGACUAGAAAUGAGUUUUUAGGCAGAAGCAGUCAACACAACAUGCUAUGUUACUAACAUGUGUCUUAUCAGUUCUAUGAUCAAGAAAACACCUUAUGCGUUGCUCAACAAUAGGAAACCUUCAAUUGCUCAUUUGAAACCAUUUGGUUGCAAAUGCUUUGUACUGAACAAUGGAAAGGAUGACAUUGGAAAGUUUGAUGCCAGGAGUGAUGAAGGCGUGUUUGUUGGGUACUCUUUUACCAACAAGGCAUACAUGGUUUUUAACAAAAGAACUCUAUGUGUUGAUGAGAGUAUGCAUGUGAAAUUUGAUGAGUUUGAGAGAAAUGAUGAACACAAAGAAGACCCUGAUUUGGAUGAUCUGAUCAAGGGAAAACAGGACAAUGGAAUCCAAAAUCCUAGAAACAAACAGGUUGCGAAAGAAAUUGAUGCAGAACUCACAGAAUAACCUAGUCCCUCUGGUUCAGCCUAUGAGAUAUUAUCUCAAAAUCCAGAAGGUGAGGAAGGUGAAUCUGAUGUUGAUGUGAAAGAAGAGAUAACCAGAAAUUUUGGAUGGAACCAUCAAUCCUCAGAUCCACUGGACAAUCUCAUCUCCCCACUUGAUUCAGGAAUACAAACUAGAUCCAAAACAAGAAAUUUGGUUGCAUAUUCAGCCUUCAUAUCAUCCAUUGAGCCUAAGAAUAUCAAAGAGGCUUUACAGGAUGCAGAUUGGGUAACAUCAAUGCAGGAAGAUCUUCAUCAGUUUGAGAGAAGCAAGUGUGGCACCUGGUCCCCAGACCACUCAACAGAACCAUUAUUGGGACAAGAUGGGUUUUCAGAAACAAACUUGAUGAGCAUGGGAUCAUCACCAGAAACAAGUCAAAACUUGUGGUGCAGGGAUACAAUCAAGAAGAGGGGAUUGACUAUGACGAGACCUUUGCUCCUGUAGCCAGAAUGGAAGCUAUUAGAAUCCUGAUAGCCUUUGCCGCCCACAUGGAGUUUAAACUGUUUCAAAUGGAUGUCAAGAGUGCCUUCUUGAAUGGGAAUUUGAAAGAAGAGGUGUAUGUCAAAUAGCCUCCAAGUUUUGAAGAUGCUGCCAAAUCAUGUACUAAAGUUGGAUAAAGCUUUGUAUGGUUUAAAGCAAGCUCCCAGAGCUUGGUAUGAGCGCUUGUCAAAAUUCCUCCUUGCAAAUGGGUCCAACAGGAGUAAAAUUGAUAAUAACUUGUUCCUAAAAUCUAGAGGUAAGGAGUUGUUGAUUGUGCAGGUAUAUGUCGAUGACAUCAUCUUUGGAGCUACUUCAAAUUCACUGUGCAAAGAGUUACUGAUUUGAUGAGUAGUGAAUUUGAAAUGAGCAUGAUGGAGGAGCUUACUUUCUUCCUAGGAUUGCAAAUCAAGCAGUCUCCUCAGGGCACUUCUAUAUGUCAAGAGAAGUAUAUAAGAAUUGCUCAAAAAGUUCAAUCUACUUGAGGAAAAAGUUCUUGACACUCCUAUGAGCACAAGUGUGAAACUUGAUCUGGAUGAAGAUGGUGUUGAGGUUAAUCAGACCAUGUAUAGGGGAAUUAUUGGGUCACUUCUGUACCUCACUACAAGCAGGCCUGACAUAGUCUUCAGUGUAGGGAUGUGCGCAAUGUUUCAAGCAGCGCCAAAGGAGUCACAUUUGAAGGCAGCCAAGCGAAUUCUGAGUACCUGAAGGGAACUCAGGACCUGGUCCUCUUCUAUCCAACGGGUGAUUCGCUUGAUCUAAUUGGUUAUGCUGAUGUUGAUUAUGCAGGUUUUCUUGUUGAUUGAAAGAGUACAUCAGGCAUGGCACACUUUCUUGGAUCAUCACUGAUUUCUUAGGGACUAAGAAGCAAAAUUCAGUGGCACUGUCUACAGUAGAGGCAGAAUAUGUGGUUGGUGCAUCAUGUUGUGCUCAGUUCCUGUGGAUCAAGUAGCAACUGGAAGAUUUUGGUGUUCUCACAGACAUUAUCCCUCUAAUAUGCGACAACACCAGUGCAAUGAACAUGGCCAAGAAUCCUGUUCAGCAUAAAAAGACAACGCACAUAGAUGUGAGGCAUCACUUCCUAAGGGACAAUGUUGAGAAGCAAAAUGUGGUGAUGAGUUUCUGCAAGACAGAAGACCAGUUGGCUGAUAUCUUUACAAAACCCUUGAGUAAAGAAUGUUUCAUCAAAAAUAGGUUGAGACUGGGGAUGCACAAGAUCACCUGAUUCCAUGACAUGUUUGCACAAAAUCUUCCAUUUGAUUAUGUUAAGGAGGGUAGGUAUCUAUACUUAUUGUAAUGCGUAUUGUUUGAGAAUUCACUUCUGGCACCUUAAUGCAGGUAUACACUCAUGGCAUGAUGGCUGAAGGGAAGAUCUAAUCAUACAGACAGGGCUACAUACUAAAUGAGACCUGGUCCCCACGAGGUUAGUAUCACUUAUGCUACACUUUGUGUAUUUCAACGUCACUGUCACAUGUCUCUUACCCAUUCAUCGCGUUAGUUUUAGACGUCUUUUCACUUUAAAUCCAAGAGUCACUACUUUUCAGGAACCCGAUACCUCUUGGACUUAAAUAUAAACCUAACCUCUAUUAAUCCAAAAAUCUUAACCUCUUUCAAAUCUCUUUUGUGAUUUCUUAUUCGUUCCCAAAUUGCCCUUUCUUCUUCAUCAAAAUGACUAACUCAUCUUCUUCUUCAAAGCUUCCCAUUUCUUAAGAGAUUGAAAACCCUGGUUCCUUCAGUUUCUCCACCCUUUCCCCAGAAGAAUCUUCGUUGACACCAGUCUGUGGUGUUAGUGAAACGGGUGAGUCCAUCACACCUCAUACUAAAGUGGUGGCUUCUCCUACACUUCCAUCUGGGGAGAUCUUACCCUGCUCGCCUACAUUAGUUCUAUCUGGUGAGAAAUUUCAAAACACAGAAGCCCAAUCAGUCAUAAAACCAAGUGUUGACCCUUCAAUUGAAGAACUUGACGUAUUAUCUAGGGGAGUGUCUUCUACUAUGUCUGAGAGGUUAUUUGAUGGAGAUCUGCCUGAGGGAAAGAGUCCCGAGUUGAAUAUUCUAGAAGCAGGGGCAGAAUUAGUGGUUGUACAAAGUUUGGCCUCUCUUAGAGGCGAUGUUCAACCACCUUGCUGGAACAAGAGUUGAGGUCUCCGGAGUAGGUCUCUCAUAGUGUUCAACCUGUGUUUGAACAAACGCCUAGGUCAUUUGAUGUUGAUAGUGACAAGGAAGAGGAAGAAGAAGUUCCUUUGAAAUGGAGCAAAAUAGAGGUGCGAGGAGCCAACACUUUAACAGUUGGUGUCCCAGAUUCGUAAAUAGGUAGGAGUGCUCCUGAGGUUGUUCUUACUAAUGAGCCCGCUGAGUUUGCAAAGGAAAGAAAAAAA
rnacentral:lncRNA from 1 species